rnacentral:rRNA from 1 species
UUGAUAGGUCAGAGGUGUAAGUGCGGUAACGUAUUUAGCUGACUGAUACUAAUAGGUCGAGGGCUUGACCAAUAA